rnacentral:rRNA from 1 species
UGGGGAAUAUUGCACAAUGGAGGGAACUCUGAUGCAGCGACGCCGCGUGAACGAAGAAGGCUUUCGAGUCGUAAAGUUCUUUUAUAUGGGAAGAUAAUGACGGUACCAUAAGAAAAAGCCCCGGCUAACUACGUGCCAGCAGCCGCGGUAAUACGUAGGGGGCUAGCGUUGUCCGGAAUCACUAGGCGUAAAGGGUUCGCAGGCGGAAAUGCAAGUCAGGUGUAAAAGGCAGUAGCUUAACUACUGUAAGCAUUUGAAACUGCAUAUCUUGAGAAGAGUAGAGGUAAGUGGAAUUUUUAGUGUAGCGGUGAAAUGCGUAGAUAUUAAAAAGAAUACCGGUGGCGAAGGCGGCUUACUGGGCUCAUUCUGACGCUGAGGAACGAAAGCGUGGGUAGCAAACAGG